AUCCAGCUGAAUCAUUCCAAAUAGGACGAAACGCGCGUCAAACUGGAU
rnacentral:hammerhead_ribozyme from 1 species